UGAAGCGGGAAGAGCUCAAAUUUGUAAUCUGGCACCUUCGGUGUCCGAGUUGUAAUCUCGAGAAGUGUUUUCCGCGCCGGACCGCAUACAAGUCUGUUGGAAUACAGCGUCAUAGUGGUGAGAACCCCGUAACUGAUGCGGAUGCCCGGUGCUUUGUGAUACACUUUCGAAGAGUCGAGUUGUUUGGGAAUGCAGCUCAAAUUGGGUGGUAAAUUCCAUCUAAAGCUAAAUAUUGGCGAGAGACCGAUAGCGAACAAGUACCGUGAGGGAAAGAUGAAAAGCACUUUGGAAAGAGAGUUAACAGUACGUGAAAUUGUUGGAAGGGAAACGCUUGAAGUCAGACUUGCUAUUUGGAAUUCAGCCGCAAGGUGUACUUUUCAAUUCGCAGGCCAGCAUCAGUUUUCGGGGGUGGAAAAGGGUAGAGAGAAGGUAGCAAUUUCGGUUGUGUUAUAGCUCUUUGCUGGAUUCAUCCUUGGGGACUGAGGAACGCAGUACGCUUUUUGCAAGGCUUUCGAGCUUUUCGUGCUUAGGAUGCUGGUGGAAUGGCUUUAAACGACCCGUCUUGAA
rnacentral:rRNA from 1 species